GAUGAACGCUGGCGGUCUGCUUAACACAUGCAAGUCGAACGGAAUCCUUCGGGAUUUAGUGGCGGACGGGUGAGUAACACGUGAGAAUCUGCACUCAGGAUGGGGACAACAGCGGGAAACUGCUGCUAAUACCCAAUGUGCCGAAAGGUAAAAGAUUUAUCGCCUGAGAAUGAGCUCGCGGCCGAUUAGUGAGUUGGUGGGGUAAUGGCCUACUAAGACGGCGAUCGGUAGCUGGUCUGAGAGGAUGAGCAGCCACACUGGGACUGAGACACGGCCCAGACUCCUACGGGAGGCAGCAGUAGGGAAUUUUCCGCAAGGGGCGCAAGCCUGACGGAGCAAGACCGCGUGGGGGAGGAAGGCUCUUGGGUUGUAAACCCCUUUUCUCAAGGAAGAACAAAAUGACGGUACUUGAGGAAUCAGCCUCGGCUAACUCCGUGCCAGCAGCCGCGGUAAAAC
rnacentral:rRNA from 1 species